AGACUUUGAUUAUGGCUCAGAACGAACGCUGGCGGCAGGCCUAACACAUGCAAGUCGAACGCGUGCCUUCGGGCACGAGUGGCGGACGGGUGAGUAACGCGUGGGAAUUUGCCAUGGGGUACGGAAUAACCGCGGGAAACUGCGGCUAAUACCGUAUACGUCCUUCGGGAGAAAGAUUUAUCGCCCCAAGAUGAGCCCGCGUCCGAUUAGCUGGUUGGUGAGGUAAUGGCUCACCAAGGCGACGAUCCGUAGCUGGUCUGAGAGGAUGAUCAGCCACAUCGGGACUGAGACACGGCCCCGAACUCCUACGGGAGGCAGCAGUGCGGAAUAUUGGACAAUGGGCGCAAGCCUGAUCCAGCCAUGCCGCGAGCGUGAAGAAGGCCCUCCGCUUGCAAAGCACUUUCAGCGGGGGGAAGAAAAUCC
rnacentral:rRNA from 1 species